GCUAGAUAGCUCAGCUGGUGAGAGCAUGGGGCUGAUAACGCCAAGGUUGCAGGUUCGAUCCCCGUAUGGGACAGCAGCA